rnacentral:misc_RNA from 1 species
GAUGAAGAACGUAGUGAAAUGCGAUAAUUAAUGUGAAUUGCAGAAUUCAGUGAAUCAUCGAGUCUUUGAACGCACAUUGCGCCCCCUGGUAUUCCGGGGGGCAUGCCUGUCCGAGCGUCAUUGCUGCCCUCAAGCACGGCGUGUGUGUUGGGCUUCCGUCCCUGGCAACGGGGACGGGCCCAAAAGGCAGUGGCGGCACCAUGUCUGGUCCUCGAGCGUAUGGGGCUUUGUCACCCGCUCCCGUAGGUCCAGCUGGCAGCUAGCCUCGCAACCAAUCUUUUUAACCAGGUUGACCUCGGAUCAGGUAGGGAUACCCGCUGAACUUAAGCAUAUCAAUAAGCGGAGGA